rnacentral:rRNA from 1 species
GACAUAGGUGGCGAACGUUAUCCGGAAUUAUUGGGCGUAAAGGGUGCGUAGACGGUCUAGUAAGUUAGCAGCGGGAAAUCGAGGCCCAACCUCGUGGAAGUUGUUAAUACUACUAUACUCGAGUGCAGGAGAGGUUAAUGGAACUCAAUGUGGAGCGGUGAAAUGCGUAGAGAUGUGGAGGAACACCGAUGGCGAAGGCAGCCUCCUGGGCCAAUACUGACGCUCAUGCACGAAAGCGUGGGGAGCAAACAGG